GAGUUUGAUCCUGGCUCAGGACGAACGCUGGCGGCGUGCUUAACACAUGCAAGUGGAGCGACGAACCGGGCUUGCCCGGGGCAGAGCCGCGAACGGGUGAGUAACACGUGGGUUACCUGCCGUGAUGACUGGGACAACCCGUCGAAAGACGGGCUAAUACCGGAUGUGCCCGCAAGGGGAAAGGAGGCUUCGGCUUCCGCAUCGCGAUGGGCCCGCGGAGCGUUAGCUUGUUGGUGAGGUAACGGCUCACCAAGGCUUCGAUGCUUAGCUGGUCUGAGAGGACGAUCAGCCACACUGGGACUGAGACACGGCCCAGACUCCUACGGGAGGCAGCAGUGGGGAAUCUUGCGCAAUGCGCGAAAGCGUGACGCAGCAACGCCGCGUGCGGGAAGACGGCCUCGGUUGUAACG
rnacentral:rRNA from 1 species